AGAGUUUGGUGGUUUGGCUUAAAAAUCUCAAGAUAAGUAAUCAGUUAUAGUGCUUUGUUCAGCAUCUCGAGGCUGGCAACAACCUAGGUAAUGACAUCUCUAGACUUUCACUCAGAGUUGCUUCACUGCCUAGAGGUCGGUUUGUGUCAACUCGUCAGGCUUGUAAUGAAUAAUAGUACUGGAAAUGUGCUAGCUAGAGCUUAAGGUUAUGUAAUGACUACUACAUAUUAUGUUGAAAUCGUAUGGAAUUAUCAAACCUGGUUAUUAGUUUCUAGA